rnacentral:tRNA from 1 species
GCAGGGGGCGUAGUGGUUAAAGCGGUUGCCUUGCAGCCUGAUUGUCCUGGGUUCAAAUCCCAGCUCCUGCU